CCUACGGGUGGCUGCAGUGGGGAAUAUUGGACAAUGGGCGAAAGCCUGAUCCAGCCAUGCCGCGUGUGUGAAGAAGGCCUUCGGGUUGUAAAGCACUUUCAGUGGGGAAGAAAGCCUUGGGACUAAUACCCUCGAGGAAGGACAUCACCCACAGAAGAAGCACCGGCUAACUCCGUGCCAGCAGCCGCGGUAAUACGGAGGGUGCGAGCGUUAAUCGGAAUUACUGGGCGUAAAGCGCGCGUAGGCGGUCUGAUAAGCCGGUUGUGAAAGCCCCGGGCUCAACCUGGGAACGGCAUCCGGAACUGUCAGGCUAGAGUGCAGGAGAGGAAGGUAGAAUUCCCGGUGUAGCGGUGAAAUGCGUAGAGAUCGGGAGGAAUACCAGUGGCGAAGGCGGCCUUCUGGACUGACACUGACGCUGAGGUGCGAAAGCGUGGGUAGCAAACAGGAUUAGAUACCCUGGUAGUC
rnacentral:rRNA from 1 species